rnacentral:tRNA from 1 species
GCGGACGUGGCGGAAUUGGCAUACGCACAGGCUUGAGGAGCCUGCCCCGUAAAAGGGGGUGGAGGUUCGAGUCCUCUCUUCGGCA